UGAGCUUCACGCUUGUGCCACAAGGUCCUCA
rnacentral:piRNA from 1 species